GGGCCCGCGGCCUAUCAGCUUGUUGGUGGGGUAAUGGCCUACCAAGGCGACGACGGGUAGCCGGCCUGAGAGGGUGACCGGCCACACUGGGACUGAGAUACGGCCCAGACUCCUACGGGAGGCAGCAGUGGGGAAUAUUGCACAAUGGGCGCAAGCCUGAUGCAGCGACGCCGCGUGAGGGAUGACGGCCUUCGGGUUGUAAACCUCUUUCAAUAGGGACGAAGCGCAAGUGACGGUACCUAUAGAAGAAGGACCGGCCAACUACGUGCCAGCAGCCGCGGUAAUACGUAGGGUCCGAGCGUUGUCCGGAAUUACUGGGCGUAAAGAGCUCGUAGGUGGUUUGUCGCGUUGUUCGUGAAAACUCACAGCUUAACUGUGGGCGUGCGGGCGAUACGGGCAGACUAGAGUACUGCAGGGGAGACUGGAAUUCCUGGUGUAGCGGUGGAAUGCGCAGAUAUCAGGAGGAACACCGGUGGCGAAGGCGGGUCUCUGGGCAGUAACUGACGCUGAGGAGCGAAAGCGUGGGGAGCGAACAGGAUUAGAUACCCUGGUAGUCCACGCCGUAAACGGUGGGUACUAGGUGUGGGUUUCCUUC
rnacentral:rRNA from 1 species